CCUAUGUUCCCACAGCCCUAAGAUGUUUUUUCAAAAUUAGGCCCAAAGUUCCCACAUUUACUUUUGCAUGAAUUUGUAUCAGAUUUUAU